rnacentral:tRNA from 1 species
CGGGGUGUGGCUCAGCUUGGCUAGAGCGCCUGCUUUGGGAGCAGGAAGCCGCAGGUUCGAAUCCUGUCACCCCGA